CAACUAUGUCCACAAUCAUUAAGUGAAGCAUCCAUUUUUAAAAAAAGAGCACCAAAUCUCUGCCAAGGCAGCUCACUCUGUGCACACUACCCUGUUAAGGUGACUGUCGACGAGUCGGGGUCCACGACGAGCCAUCUUCAAGCUUUGCUGUGAUGAUGAAACAUGAGUACAAAAGAUCCAAAGAUGCAGUAGUUGUUGUCGCUUUCUAGUAAAAUCCGCUUUCUGUAGAAAUAUUCUCCAAACGUUAUCUAUCCACAAGCUGAGCUUGGAGCAGGUCAAGACAAGUCCAAGAGCAAGUGUAAAGGGACGACUGGAACCUUGUGCAGCAUUCAUAUACCUACAGCGGCCCGUGGUUACGGUUGCUAACAUGCGUGUGCACGUGAUAGAACUAUAUGAAUUGAGCCCAUCGCAAUGUAAUUUACAGUAAAGUUAUGGUCAUUUAUAGUUACUGCCUUUGUUACCCUUUAUGUGGGAUGUCUAAUAACCAUGUAGGUCUAUCCAGAAAUAAACACAGAUAUUAGAAAGCAGCAAGUCAGUACCUGAGAUGUUUGCUUGAGUGAAUAACAUUAGCAUAUGCUAAUAUUACGUCUUCACAUUUUUCUUUUCAAAGGUAACAAAAACUUAGCCUUCUCGCUACUUACCAUGCUGUAAUACAGCUAUAUGCUAGCAAUGACAUUUAACAAAUGUUUUUUAAAAUGCUAGCCGUGCUAAUUAGCCUUAGGAUUGCUUGAGGUCUUGUUUCCAGCUCUAGCUGUCGUAAGGGAACUUAGGCCCUUACGACAUAACAUAUAGCAAGAACCUAUAACGAUAAUUGACAUUUGACCCCUCUUUGCGAUUAUAGCAGCUGUGUGUUAUGUCAUGGCAUGUUUUUAAAAAUGCCACCUGAAAUUUAUGCAACCAGUGCAAGGAGGGGGGUUCUUGAUAGUUUUGUACUUUCAUCUGAUAAGGGCCCAUCGCGUAUGGGUGUAACGGAGAAUCAGCCAAUCAAAUCGCACCGUCUGAGCGCAGAUCCUCAGCCAUGCAGCCCGCCUCCUCUCCUUUCUCCUCCUCACCGUGGUCACUUGGAACCCUGUCCCAGCCUCCAUCUUCAUCACUACCAGCAUGUUGACUCUGGGGUGGGGCUUGUGCAAAAUCCUGCCACUGCUGAGAUUCCUUCUGCUAUGAUGGGUCAUUGGAGUCUAAGUGCCUAACAGUUACAUUUAUUUCUGUAUCUCAAUAAAUC
ensembl:lncRNA